UGGGCUUGACAUCCCACGAACCUGUCUGAAAGGAUGGAGUGCCUUCGGGAGCGUUGGGACAGGUGGUGCAUGGUUGUCGUCAGCUCGUGUCGUGAGAUGUUGGGUUAAGUCCCGCAACGAGCGCAACCCUUGCCCCUAGUUACCGUCGGUUCGGCCGGGGACUCUAGGGGGACUGCCGGUGAUAAACCGGAGGAAGGUGGGGAUGACGUCAGGUCCUCAUGGCCUUUAUGUCCAGGGCUACACACGUGCUACAAUGGGUGGUACAAAGGGCUGCAAAACCGUAAGGUGGAGCCAAUCCCAAAAAGCCGCCCUCAGUUCGGAUUGAAGUCUGCAACUCGACUUCAUGAAGUUGGAAUCGCUAGUAAUCGCGGAUCAGCAUGCUGCGGUGAAUACGUUCCCGGGCCUUGUACACACCGCCCGUCACAUCACGAAAGCUGGCUGUACUCGAAGUCGCUGAGAAUCUC
rnacentral:rRNA from 1 species